GAUAACUGUUCAGACGAGUGGUAGGAAUGAUGGAGUAACGACCUGAAACUACCCCAGUGAGAUUCCCAACUGCAUAUGCUAGGUAUAGUGUGAUGUAGGAAGCAGGGUAAAACAUGCAGUCAAAAUCCGUAGUACCCGACCGGGCAACCGAAAGCCAUUGGGAAUAAUAAACCAAAUGGAACUGAUUAAGUAUUGUAUGCUGUCAACCGA
rnacentral:ncRNA from 1 species